rnacentral:lncRNA from 1 species
CUCCCUUGAUUCUUCUCUCAUGAUUUUCUCCGUAAUUCGAGGCCGUCAAUAGCAUAUUUCUCGAAUGUAUGAAGAUUUAGAUAUGAAUUUCUCCAUAAUUCGAGGGUCGUUAGUGACGUAUUUCUCGAAAGUAGGAACAUUUGUAUUUGUUCUCCAUGAAAGGAGGGUUUGUCUUUUUGAUGUAUUUGAUUAUCAAGAAGAGAAGGUUUUGAUCUUUACGAAUAUCCCAUGAAUUUUUUGGGAUUUUUCAGAUCUUUGAUCUCUUUGUGAAUAUCCCGUGAAUUUGUGGGAUACUGAAGAUCCCGAUCUUUUUACAAAUACCCAUC